CCUACGGGAGGCAGCAGUGGGGAAUAUUGGGCAAUGGGCGCAAGCCUGACCCAGCGACGCCGCGUGAGGGAAGACGGUCUUCGGAUUGUAAACCUCUUUCAGCAGGGAAGACAAAAGGACGGUACCUGCAGAAGAAGCCACGGCUAACUACGUGCCAGCAGCCGCGGUAAUACGGAGGAUGCGAGCGUUAUCCGGAUUUAUUGGGUUUAAAGGGUGCGUAGGCGGAAUGCCAAGUCAGCGGUAAAAUCGCGGGGCUUAACCUCGCUCCGCCGUUGAAACUGGCGUUCUUGAGUGGGCGAGAAGUA
rnacentral:rRNA from 1 species